AGUGUCCAGACACCUGAAAUGAUAAGGAUACCAGAGGAGAUGAGAGUGUCCAGACAACUGAAAUGAUAAGGAUUGUUACGGAUACAGUUAUCCUGUGUGUGUGUAUCCUGUGUGUUUCUUUUCUCUCCUUCUCCCCUCACAGGUGAAAAUCAUCACUCCCCAAUCAGUCAACAAUCAAUCAUCAAUCAGAAGACACACCUCCUCCUAUUUCCUAACCUAUCACAGUUCCUUCCCCAUGGUUUAAAAACCCCAUCAUUUGUUUGUUCUAGAGCUCAAUCUCUCUGUAAAUGCCAUGUCUGUAGGUCUCUGUGUUUCACUCUCGCUUUGUGUCUUAACCUCUCUUUUGUUUAAGCACUUCAUAGCACUUUGUCAUCACCUGUGAGUAUUGUUUUUGGUUAUGGUGUUUGUUUGUUGCUGGUGGGAAAAGGGGGAAACCAAGACAAAUCGCCCAUGGGCAUACACUACCCGUAGGUGAACUUUGUUAAAUACACUAGUUAGAACUGGGCGGACCACCCACUGUAUUUUUGGUUAGUUAGUUAGCUGUUGUUAAAGUAGGCUAGUCUAGCUUAGGGGUGUUUUUGAAUACUUAUUGUUUCUUUCCUUGGGUCCAGCUCAGCCCCUUUUCCUGCUCCCCCCAUUACCGUGUGUUUAUAAAUAAACCUGGAGUUUGACGGUA